CGCUCAUCUGCUGGCCUUAUCUCACUGCCGCCCAACCAUUUUCCUCCCUCAAACUAGCACACAGCCUCAACUCCUCUCCCACCUCACGCACGUCUCUCCCAGUCGUUCCUUCAUUUCUCUGGCUCGUCCUUCUCCAUGAGGUCGCGCCCUGCUGCGCCGUCGUGCUGGUCGCCGGCUGAGCCCCCUUCAGUGCCUGACGCCGCAUCUCCCUGGUGCUCACCUCUGUUUCCCCCUGCGUUGGUCGACCUCGCACUCCCUCCCUGCUCCAGAUUUCUCCAUGGCCGCCCCUUUCCUUGCCCCAGGUGGCGAGCUCGCCCCUGCAUUCCUGCUCGCCUAAUCUCCACUUCCCUGUUCCAGCCACCUCCCAUGGACGCCAGCCCUCAGCCAUGGAUGCCGAACCCCCUCUCUUUAGUGCCUUUCUUUGCAGCCCCUGCGUCCCCGUGCGUGUAAGGUGUUUGUAUAAAUGCUCAAGAGGAGUGUCGUGUCGUGGCCAACCCUUUUGGCGUCGUCGGAUGUUUGAUGUUUUGCGCAUCCCGUCUACGACGCCGUCGACCAUCGGUGAGGAUUCGUUCUUGCUUUGUCAUUUCAUCGAUCGACGUCUAUUUGCUAAUGUGAAUUGUGUUUAUGUGCCUAUGUGUGUUGAGGAGCGAAAUCCGUGAAAUCUAGGUGAAGAAGAGACGAAGCACUAAUGUGAAUUGUGUUUAUGUGCCUAUGUGUGUUGAGGAGCGAAAUCCGUGAAAUCUAGGUGAAGAAGAGACGGAGCACGUCGUCGCCAUGGUUGCAGCUUUGCUUUUGUCGUCGUGGAGCCUCCACCAGUGCCGUGUAGCAGGACUGCUCUUAUGUGUUAUUGGUGCUAUUCCGCUUGUACAGCCAAUGAAAUAGGUCCUACUACACAAGGAUGGGAGAAUGUUUAAUGCUUCUUCAGAUACUAUUUCUUGGUCUGUCAAAUCUGCUUGACCCAAAUGCAAGUUUUGCUCAAAUGUGGCAAAAAAUGAUUGUCUCACCAAUUGUUAGCACGUUUGCUUCCAGCAAAGUUGUCCAGAGAAGGAAAAGAUGAAAUGAAACUCAAAUUUUAGUGGUCGCACAAGUGUGGAGACAGUUGAUGACCAAGUUUUUCAAUUAGUAUUUUAGUUUGAAUUUAGAGUACACAUAUGUAUGAGUUAUUUGACAAUGCUUGUUUAUGAACAUAUGUAUGAGUUAUUUGACAAUGCUUGUUUAUAAGAGAUUGAAUGAUACCUAUCUAUAUUAUAUUAAUUAUAAUGUUAUUAAAUAAA